rnacentral:tRNA from 1 species
GGGCGCGUAGCUCAAUCGGUAGAGCAAGCGGCUCUUAACCGCUAGGUUCAGGGUUCGAGUCCCUGCGCGCUCACCA